UCCUGUUGGAGAUAUUUUGAAGUUUAAACGCUAUUUUUAUUGCAUUUUACACGUCGAACGUAGUGCAUACCGGUUUUAGAGUCGAAACAAGCACAGCGGCUCGCAAAUAUCAACUUUUUACUCGAUUUUGAGGAAAGGUAAGCGUUAUUUCUUUCCUGUUGGAUAUAUUUCGGUGUUCAAAUGCCAUUUUCAUAGCAUUUUACACGUCGAGCGUAGUGUACGCCAGCUUUAUAGUCGAAACAAGCACAGCGGCUCGCAAAUAGCAACUAUUUACUCGAUUUU
rnacentral:misc_RNA from 1 species